CACUUUGCGGAGCUGUCGGAUGCUGUGAGUUGUUGAAGUACAGCAACUCUUUCUCUUGGUGGCUGUGAGUGAACUUGAAGUGAGAGAAAAAUACUUGAAUGCAGAUUGUUAACCAACUCUCAACCCUUGAUCUUUGAGAGACUUGACCACCAUUUUCACCAUUUCUCUCCAUCUGUCGAGGCUCCUCAUUUUUGCGACAUGAGGCUUGCGCUUCUGAUCACGCCUUGUGACACCUCGUUUGCUGGAAGCUUGCUUCAACUUCGCCUGACCAACACGGGCAACUCCUGCAUUCCCUAGGGAACUGGCCGAGCUACUCUCUUCAGCUGUGUAGUGCGCAGGGCCUUAUUUGCGCUCAUUCUGAUCGUCUGGCAGCCGCCUCCUCAUCACUUCGUGAGCAAGUCUAUCGCACUGUGCCAGCCGUGGCCGACGCCGCCGGCUUGAUGCCCAGGAGCAGCUGUGGGACCUUCAAGUUCCGCAAGCCUGACAGCAGCUCGCCCAGCCGCCAGUGCCGCCGCACUCACCACCCCGAGCUCUUCUUCGUUCUGUUCAUCAAAUGAGGGAUGCAGCGUGCGCCCGCUACUCAGCCGCGGCAGGGCGUGCAGCACGCGCAGGUGGGCCUCGUUGGGGUCGUAGACACUCAGCUGCGCCACCGAGGGUGGGUCCACGGCAAGAAGGCCGCGCAGACGGAGUGGGGCGUGUCGUAGUCAUUGUUGUCCAACACGACGGAAUGGCCGCACGAUCAACUGCAGG